UACGAAGGGUGCAAGCGUUACUCGGAAUUACUGGGCGUAAAGCGUGCGUAGGCGGUGGGUUAAGUCAGAUGUGAAAGCCCUGGGCUCAACCUGGGAAUGGCAUUUGAUACUGGAUCACUAGAGUGCGGUAGAGGAUGGCGGAAUUCCCGGUGUAGCAGUGAAAUGCGUAGAGAUCGGGAGGAACAUCUGUGGCGAAGGCGGCCAUCUGGACCAGCACUGACACUGAGGCACGAAAGCGUGGGGAGCAAACGGG
rnacentral:rRNA from 1 species